rnacentral:lncRNA from 1 species
GAAGCCCGCCACUCAGACGAGAGUCGACUGUCGAGCCGAAAGGUUGUGUGUUAACCGUCGUCCUGUCGAUUUUUAUCUUUCUCUCUCCAGUGCGUUUCCCUCCUCGUUAUCAAUCCGCAAUUUUCUUUGCCAUCACUCGCAAGAUAUUAUUUUGCAUCCAAGUUUGGCAUUACAUUUUCAAUUGUGUGCUGCCCACACGAAAAGAGCCGGUUAUUUUACUCCAUUUUUUCGGGUUUUGUCCCAGUGAUUUUGUGAUUUGAGUGUGUCAUUGGUGCUGAUCAUUUGAAAUUGGUGUGUUUGUUUCAUGGUCUCUGUCCGCUCUGAUUUAAUUGGAUAACAUAUCGCAAAGUGUGUCUCAAUUGCAUCGACGACACGUGCUACAGUGCUAAACUUGAGGAAUAUUCCAUUUCGUUUUGGGGUGAAAAAUUGGAACUUUUUUUGGAGCUCUCUGCUGUUCCCAGCAGACCGCCGCCAUCAUCAUCAUCACGUCGUUAACUGGUGUCUGUGAUUGUGUGCUUCUCUCUCCCUUUAAUGGUGCCGAUGGAUAUCUGUGUCGAUGAACUGGCAGUGCUUUUAUCAUCGUAACCUUGGCCAAGGUGUCCGCCCUGUCUCGUCGCGGUAAAUUCUCCUCAAGAAAACGUGUGUGUUGCAAUUCCAGGAAUAGUUCAAAAGAGAUAAAUCGAGGCACUUUGGAGCGUGAACAAGAACAACCUUUUUUUUCUUCCUAAACUGUGUCAAAGUGAAGCAUCUCGAAAAGAUCGAAAAAUGUCACCCGAAAUGGUCAUCUACUUCUUGUUGCUGCUCAUUGAACUGAUCUGCCAGACGGCCGCAUCUGCUAACCGGCUCAGCGACAUUUACUGGAAUUCCACCAACCCAAUGUAAGUAAACCUACACCAUUUGCCAUUAUAUGCGAGUUGUUCGUGUGUCGAGAGGUGCGUUGAGUUGGCCACUACAAGGUAAGAGGCCACUGGCCGGACGAGAUUCAUUUAAGCAACGGACGGAUCGCACGGGACGCUCUUGAAACGGGUCCAAUGGGGUCGCUCAUAUCUUGCCCGUCAAUUUUCGAACGAGGCGGCGUAAUGAAGCCACGGGAGUCAAUUGAUUAAACGCGGUCGAAAACGUAAUGCUCCUAUUAUGGGGCGGCGUAAUUGUUGAUUGGAUUUUAGCGGCGCCCGUCUCCAUUUCUCACGUUAGACCUGUGAUAUCAAAUUUAGCUAUUGGGAAGCUUACAAAAUCACCUUGAUGGUCUACAAGAAAAAAGCUGUAUAAAUUGAAAAAGAAAAAAGAAACACUUCACGGAAUUGUUCCUUUUUUUUCUUCUUCUCCUGCCUUGAUCAAUGAUUCCCUUUUUUUAUUAUUGGAUCAAUCAAUUGUAUAUCUCUAUACAAUGCAUGUACUGCGUGCUCUAUUGAAUGCCGGGUAGAGAUGCUGACGCGGCAGUUAGUUGAUAUGAAAAGGGACAAGGGAAUGAAUAGGACGACCGGUGGCGACAUUGAAACUUCACCGCGUUUCGGCCUGCUCACCGUCGAACCUCAUCCAGUCUCUGUGUGUGUGUGGUGAUUUGAAUGAGCGGCCGCCGUAUUUGUGUGGCGGUUAUUGAGGGGUCCUAUAACUUUGGCUUCGCAGAGGA